AGACAGGAAAUAGGAUCUUAGUGGGUGGCCGCCAAGAGCGCACAGACUUUGAAGCAGGAAAAGACAGUCUCUAGAGCAACAUGGAAAGGAUCCAGAAUCUAAAAUAUUCCUGGAAAUGGAGAGUCCUGACAUGAUGGCCCCAUGAUGAAAAGAACCCAGGUUCCUGAGUCACGACGUGGACAUGAGGCACCAAGGAGAAAACACGUGAACCUUAAUAAGUUUGGGAGCUUUGACAUUCUUCUGUCAAGUCACCUUGCAAGUCUCAUGCUUUCUGGAUUCACUGCAGAUUAGAGUACCCAGAAUUAGCCAAGACCUUCAACAUUUAAUGACUAGCCAUGGAGAAGAAAUAAGAUGAACUGCUUGUCCCAGAAAGCGAUAGAACUUUGAAAGCAGCUAUAUAUUUCCUAGCUACCUCUAAAAAAUGGAGCUGUCUUCAUGAGACCUGUAAGAAGCCAACAGAUUUUUACAAAGCGGCAAUUAAUAUUUUAGAAUCGGAAUGAAAAUGACGCUACUGCAGUCUCAAGAAGUGAUGACCUUCCCAGGGUCAGCUGGCUAGCUGGCAGCAGAGUUAACAACAGAUGAGGUUCAUUUGACAGUUUAACUUAUUUUUUCCAUUGCCCUGACCUUUUUUUUUCUUUUGAAGCAAAUCAUCUGGCUACAGAACAAAAGUCCUUCCUUUUCCCAUCUGUGCCCAAAGAAGAGUGUGCUGGGUCUAUGAGCCCCUUAGCUGGUCUGAAUGCUUGUUGGAAAAAAGGGGCCUAGAAUUCUGUUCCAUCAAAGCUAUAGCGGGGAG
rnacentral:lncRNA from 1 species